GUACUGGAUAUAUUGAAAACGUGCAGCAGCUGUGAACGACGGUUAGUGAUGAAUGGCGGUCACGGUUAACGGUCACUCACAUAGCUGCAGGCUCGACAGUUCUCUUGGCCACGAUUAUUAUUCGUCUGGUUUCGGCAGCCAAAGUGUGCACACAUAAUUUUCCACUGCACGGGGCAUGCAGCAUACGGGUGUCCCAGCUAACAUGCGUGAAGCUAUAAAAAAAGUAAAAGCAGACGACACUAAGACACGAAGACGGCUAUCAUGGUGUUUAGUCAGCAGUCUUCUUCUUCCGCAAAGUGAGGUUAUAUAUAAACUGCCAGUCAAGUUUAUUUUCUUGGAACCGCUCGCCAUGCCCACUGCAGCGAAGAAGACCAGAGGAAAAGGAGCC